UAAGGCUGGGGAGCAAUCUCUAACCGAUGCUAUGCAAGAAGUCAGCAGAGUCCGUAGUACUCAUGGGAACCGCAAUCCAAAACUCGCGGAACCUGUGAGGAAGGGA
rfam:Candidatus Thrbacteria bacterium RIFCSPHIGHO2_02_FTLL_57_19 rifcsphigho2_02_scaffold_10477, whole genome shotgun sequence.